AUUCUUUUUAUCUAUAGCUUUGGGAAAGAACAUUCAAUUUUUUUGUCACAUAUGGUCUAUUUGUUUUGGUAUUUGGGAUAUUUGUCCUCUAAUGGUGUGUCAUGUUUUAGUUGGAGGCAUACAAGAAACCAUAUCGGAUUUUAGGGAACAUCUCUAUCCCGAGGAUAAGGAUUUUUUUAAUUUUGUUGAUUUGCCAUUUUCUUUGUUAUAAUUUCUUUUUUCUUUUUUCAUUUUUAUUCUUGUCAUAUGUGAUAUAUAAGGCGAAAUUAAAAAUCUUCUCUCCCAUAUGCGUAUCCCUCAGCGAAUCUGCAAUUGGUGCAAGAAAUCGAUAGGCACACCUUAAGAAAUAUGUGAAGGGCGACUCUUUCGUGGGUCAGACACAUCCAACUCGUGAGGGAGAGAUGACGCCGACCCCCCAACGAAGUUAUUCUUACCUUUCUUCAGCUCCAUUUGGCAGUAGCGAUGUUGGACAAAGGAAAGUAAAUAUGUUUUGUGCUUGUUACAAGUCUGAGGAUAAUGACAUUGGAGAAACGAUGAUUGAUAGGCGAUCAACUGAAGGGACUGGUGAAGCCAUUCUUCUGGAAGGAAAUCUUAAUCAAAUAUCUCCUUGGCGGCAGCAGUUUCCUAAGCGAUGGGUUAUUGUACUGCUAUGUUGUACAGCAUUUCUUGUGUAACAUGGAUUGCGUGAGCAAUAUUUUCUUUUGUUUAUAGCUUCAGUUACAAUGCUAUUUAUAUCAGGCGUUUGUGUAUAUUUGAUUAAUUGUUUCUAUAUUUCCACAAUCUUACUAACCUAAUGAUACUGAUAUAUGCUGUACAUUUCCCUUUUUGUGGGUAAAUAUGAGUGUAGCAAUACUUCCAAUGUCUCAAGAGUUCAACUGGAACAGUGCAACAGUGGGCCUCAUUCAGGCCUCUUUUUUCUGGGGUUAUCUACUUACUCAGGUUUCCUAAGCGAUGGGUUAUUGUACUGCUAUGUUUUACAGCAUUUCUUGUGUAACAUGGAUCGUGAGCAAUAUUUUCUUUUGUCUACUUACUCAGGUUUGAACUGAUAUACAUAAAGCCAGUUACCUUAACUAAAAAUUGGUUUCCCACUUUCAUAUUGCAUUUUCCUAGUAUUUUAAAUAUUACUGUUGGUUGAACCUUCCGUAACAUGUUUGCAUCUAGCAAGUUCUAAUGUUCAAAGUUCCUUGAUCAAUCAUAUUUUGGGGACUAUAUACUCCCUCUGUUGCUACGCUCUAGCUUGGUCAUCUCUACUAAUGCUCUUCUCAUUUCAAUCUUUGUUUGGUUUUGAUACUCAAGUCAACAUCUACUUUUGUCAGAUCCUUAGUCUCUUGUGUGUGGACGUUACACAGGAGAUAACCUAUAAAUGUCUCGUUUUCUGGGGAACCUGUGGCAGUCCGAGCUUCACAUUCCUUUUGUUUAUAGCUGCUGUCAGAGUUGGAGGCAUACAAGAAACCAUACCCAAUUCUCAGGAACAUCUCUAUCUCGAGGAUAAGGAAUUCUGCAGUUUUUUUGCACCUCUUUUUGUUGUUGGUUUGCCAUUUCCUUUGUUAUAAUUUAUUUUUUAUAUUUUCAUUUUUAUUGUCAUAUGUGAUGUACAAGACUAAACCAAAAGUCUUCUCUUAUCCCUCAGCUGCAACUGGUGCAAGAACCUGGUAUAAGGGGAGCCUAAUUAAGAACAAGAGGCUGCAAUUGGUUGUUUUUGUACUUUCAUCUGGUGAUCUCUCAUAUGACUAUUAAUUCUUCAUGUUUCUUUGUAUAAUAUGUUGAGAUCUUAUUUUUGGGAUUUCUUCGUAAAUUCCCUGUAGAUGUCAUAUGGAAUAUUUAUUGUGAAUACUGCUUAGAUGAUUGUCGUGGACAUUUUGUUUGAUGAUUCAUUGGAGAGAGGCUAUGAGUGUAUUGUGGAAUUGAACCUUUGCAUUCAACGAGUCAUUUUUUCCCUUGAAUGUACAUUUGAAGUAUAGGUGUCCUAUGAGAGUGUAAUGAGGUAAUGUUGAUUUUUGUGUUUUGAAGAAGGAAUGCAAGUAUUAGAAGAGCUUCAGUAUUUACGGUUAUGUAGUACAUAUCCAUUUCUUUCUUGGCUAAGUCGAGAUGUGUCUGUUUUGCUACAUGCAAACAUUACCAAAUAUCUGAAAUUUAUAUAUGAUUCACUCUUUCUUUUGAAUUUCUCUUGUGAAGUUGUAUUCUUUCUCCGAAGAUAAAUGUCAAUGCAAUAUUGUA